rnacentral:rRNA from 1 species
UACGUAGGUGACAAGCGUUGUCCGGAUUUACUGGGCGUAAAGAGCGCGCAGGCGGUCGUUCAAGUCGAGUGUGAAAGCCCCCGGCUCAACUGGGGAGGGUCACUCGAUACUGAUCGACUCGAAGGCAGGAGAGGGAAGUGGAAUUCCCGGUGUAGUGGUGAAAUGCGUAGAUAUCGGGAGGAACACCAGUGGCGAAGGCGACUUCCUGGCCUGUUCCUGACGCUGAGGCGCGAAAGCUAGGGGAGCAAACGGG